rnacentral:rRNA from 1 species
UAACGCGUGGGUAACCGUGCCUCACACAGGGGGAUAACAGUUGGAAACGGCUGCUAAUACCGCAUAAGCGCACAGUACCGCAUGGUACAGUGUGAAAAACUCCGGUGGUGUGAGAUGGAUCCGCGUCUGAUUAGCUAGUUGGCAGGGCAACGGCCUACCAAGGCGACGAUCAGUAGCCGACCUGAGAGGGUGACCGGCCACAUUGGGACUGAGACACGGCCCAA